GUUGCUCAUGGACUCGGCGAGUCCAGUCAAUUGGAAGUUGACUUUGACUUGGAUUUCGACUUGGUUAAGGGUAAAGGGGUCAUUUUACCCUAAGUACAUCUAGUAGUGUUUGACUGAUCGUUUUGUGGGAAUUAUAGCCGGAGGACGUCCGGAGCAACAGCAGCAGCAGUAGACAGUCAGUUCCCGAUUAGAUUAGCAGCUACUUUGAGGUGAGUUACCUUCCAGUAGCGGUGGGUCUACGGCCACAAUGCCGACCCAUCAGUAGGAGUUGUACGUUAGAUGAAUGUCUUUGUGAUAUCAUCUAGGUUUGCUACUACACUAUAUGUUAUAUGCUAGCGUGAUGUGUUAUAUGUGAUAGAAGUAGAGUUCGGUUGUUAGGACCGAAGGGUAGUUCAGACACCCCAGAUAUGUCUGAUAAUUUGUUAUGUUUAUGAUAUAUGUGUAAGUAGCAGUAUGGGGUGAAAUAGUCCCCGAGGAUCGGUUGUCAGGACCGACGGGUAGUCAGCACCCCAGAAUAGCUUGACACGGGUAGACGGCACCCCAUAAUGGCCGCACGGGUAGUCGGCACCCCAGAAUGGUUGUACCGGGUAGUCAGGCACCCCAGAAUAGCCUGGCAGUAUGUAUGUUAUGUGUUUGUAUAGUAUGUGGUACGAUGGGGGAACUCACUAAGCUUUGUGCUUACGUUUUCAGUUGUUGUUUCAGGUACCUCUUCAGGUAGGGGAAAGGAGCUGACGCGGUAGCGGCAUAUCACACACACUCUUGUUUCCACACUAUGGAUUUAUGGGAUGUACUCUGAAUUAUUACUAUGAUAUUACCGGUUUUCAGACAUGGAUUAUUGUUAUGAAUGUUUUGUAAUGAUGUUUCUAUGUAUUAACCUAAAUUAAAAUUGAAAUUUUUACCGGUAUUUUUGGGACGUUACAAGUUGGUAUCAGAGCCCUGGUUUGAGGGAUUCGGACACACCUUCGGGGGUGUCUGAACUCAAAUCGAGGGAUUAAAAGAUUUUCCAAAAAGAAAAUGUUUUCUAAAAAUUGAGAAAAGAGUUUUGAUAAAGAACGAAGUGUGUGAUGUGCGCGACCGACCGAGCUCAAGUAAGUAUUCCCCCAAAGUACUCAUACAAGUUUAUGUUAUGUUUAUCAGCUUUUGUAGAACAGCAUGCUAGAAUAGGACUAAAGAUCUAGGAGUGAUGCCUUAUGUGCCUGCUUUACAUGUUUCAGUUGUAUGAGAAUUGCAUGCUAGUAUUGAGUAGAGAGCAAGUAGGAUAGCCUGAUUAGGUUAUGCCUGAUAGUAUGAACUUAGCAUUGUAUGCUAGUACAGUUCCUGUAAGCAGAUAGAGUUGAUUGAGAUUGUUACCCUUGUCUGAAUGCUGCUUGCUUCGUGCUUUGUGAGACUUUGAAUAAUGGGAGUUAGCCAUUAGGUAAAUACGUCACGUCACAUGUGAUCAGGGUUAAAUAAUCUUAGAGUGCUGGAUUUGAUCCUAUUGCGCAGCUCUUGUUUGAGUCCAAUUGUUGUAGGGACGAGUCUGUUACUCGAAGGAUCAUCUGAGCCUCAUCACAUGUGAUAGUAUUCAGGUAAUGACUAAUUGGCAUUACAAGGAGGCCUUCAGCAGUUGAGGACUGGUUGGGUAGAGUCAGAGGAUUCAUAGGGUAAGCUUAGGAUAUGAGUAGCAGUGGUAUAAGGGAUCUGGUGGAGUCAAGGCAGUCCUUGAAGAAGGUACGGAUAGAUGUGGAAGGUAGUAUGGGCCCGUAUUACUGAAAGCAGAGGAUCCGUACCCGAACUAAGGAAGGCUGAGAUAAGACCGGGGAACUUGUAAUUGUUGUGAUCCCUCAAGAAGUAGCAGUAUCACUAACAACUGUUGUUUAUGUAUUGCAGAAUGGUGGUACUUCGAUCGAGGCCGAUAGAUGGCGGUUCAGGAGAGGGGUCAAGUUUGGGAUCAGGUUCCGAGCCGGUAGAUGAGGGACUACACGAGUUCAUCGCGUCAGAGAUCGCCAGGGGUAUCCUUGAGUCGACCCCCAUCAUCUUCGGGUCGAUCAAGGAAGGGAUAGUUGAGCUGAUGGAGGAUCGCCUCAGGGCGUUCAGGAGCGACAUGGCAUCUGGCCAGUCAGGAUCUCGCACGCUGUCCUUUAAGGGCUUCAGGGGCAGUGGUGCGCCGGAUUUCCACGGGGUGAAAGACCCCAUUACUGCCAGGCGAUGGAUUGCAGACAUCGAGUUUGCACAGUUGACUAGCUUCUGCCCCGAGGGGUCGAAGGCGAGGUAUGCAACAGGGUGUUUACGAGACUGAGCUCGAGAUUGGUGGGAGUCAGUGGGUGACUCGUUGGGAGCCUCAGCGGUCGAGGCUAUGACCUGGUCGGACUUUGUGACCAGAUUUAGGGCGGAGUUUGCGUCGGCUGUCGAGCUUCAGCAGCUGGCCAGGGAGUUUUUGGAUAUGAGACAGACGACGGAGACUGUGGCGGAGAUCACCGCCAAGUUCCGGGAGAGGGCACUGUUGGUGCCCCAGUACGCAGGUGAUGAGGACAUGAGGAGGACCCGCUAUCAUGACAUGCUCUGAGCUGACAUUCGGGAGCACGUUAGUUUUUCAGCUUGCCCCACCUUGGACUCUAUGAUUGCCAGGGCGAGGGAUAGGGAGAUAGAUUUGGAGCAUAUCCGGAAACGGAAGUCAGAGGAGAGGCAGACGGGAGGGGCUUCAGGGAAGUAGCCCAAGGGAUCAGAUGGUAGGCCGAAAGGCCAGUCAGGACCGGGCCGCUGCAGGAAAUGCGGCAGGCCUCAUGAGGGGGCAUGUAGACUGGGAUCGUCAGGCUGCUAUAAGUGUGGCAAGACGGGGCAUUUUAGCAGAGAUUGUACCGCCCCUACACCUGUGUUGCAGACAUCGAAGUUGAUGUGUUUCCACUGCAACCAGAGGGGCCACAAGAAGGCCAGUUGUCCCCAGUUGUCAGCUACAGUGUCAGUGAAGGCGCCAACACCAGCGACCCUACGGAUUACUGAUGGCCGGCAGGGCAAAGCAGAGGCUCCAGUGGUGAGGAGUCGGGCAUUUCAGCUGACUACCGAGGAGGCACGCGCCGCACCCGAUGUGGUGACGGGUACCUCUUCAGGUAGGGGAAAGGAGCCGGCGCGGUAGCGGCAUAUCACACACACUAUUGUUUCCGCACUAUGGAUUUCUGGGAUGUACUCUGAAUUAUUAUUAUGAUAUUACCUGUUUUCAGACAUGGAUUAUUGUUAUGAAUGUUUUGUAAUGAUGUUUCUAUGUAUUAACCUAAAUUAAAAAUGAAAUUUUUACCGGUA